GAUGAACGCUGGCGGCGUGCCUAAUACAUGCAAGUCGAGCGAACGGACGAGGAGCUUGCUUUUCUGAUGUUAGCGGCGGACGGGUGAGUAACACGUGGAUAACCUACCUAUAAGACUGGGAUAACUUCGGGAAACCGGAGCUAAUACCGGAUAAUAUUUUGAACCGCAUGGUUCAAUAGUGAAAGACGGUCUUGCUGUCACUUAUAGAUGGAUCCGCGCUGCAUUAGCUAGUUGGUAAGGUAACGGCUUACCAAGGCAACGAUGCGUAGCCGACCUGAGAGGGUGAUCGGCCACACUGGAACUGAGACACGGUCCAGACUCCUACGGGAGGCAGCAGUAGGGAAUCUUCCGCAAUGGGCGAAAGCCUGACGGAGCAACGCCGCGUGAGUGAUGAAGGUCUUCGGAUCGUAAAACUCUGUUAUUAGGGAAGAACAUAUGUGUAAGUAACUGUGCACGUCUUGACGGUACCUAAUCAGAAAGCCACGGCUAACUACGUG
rnacentral:rRNA from 1 species